CAGACUUUCUCAGUUUCCUGCCCUGGAGUUGGACAAGUUCCUUGAAGAUGUCAGGAACGGGAUCUACCCUCUGACUGCCUUUGGAGUACCAUGUCCACAACAACCCCAGCAGGAGGCGGUGAAGUCGCCCAUCAUCCCUCCCUCAGUCAAAACCCCGACACCUGAACCCGCAGAGCUGGAGACCAGGAAGGUGGUUCAUAUGCAGUGUAAUAUUGAGCCUGUUGAUGAGGGAGCUAAACAUCAUCUGACUUUACUGUUGAAGCUGGAGGAUAAACUAAACAGACAUCUGAGCUGUGAUCUGUUACCAAGUGAGUUUUUCUCUCCGACACUUAACACCGCCAUCCCUCAGAUCAGUGGAACCCUCACCUUUCCUCCACCGCCUGCCUUUUGUAAACAGGAUGAUUGUUGAUUUUGGAUCAUUCUGAUGUUGA